GUCAUUCGCUUCGCAGCACAUAUACUAAAAUUGGAGCGAUACAGAGAAGAUUAGCAUGGCCCUCUGCGCAAAGGAUGACAGACAAAUUCGUGAACCGUUCCAUAUUUUA